rnacentral:lncRNA from 14 species
UUCCUUAUGGUUUCUUUUGAGUCAUACCGCCGAGGGAAUCAGCUCCGCCAAUAAAAGCCCUGCGAAGAGCAAUAGGCCACACUGCCACCGCCUGUUCCCUUGCUGGAACGGCACGGCUAAACGCGUUCUGCUGUCGCUGCUUCCGAGGAAGGUAAAACUUGCAGCGUGGAUUUGGAGAUUACACUGGGAGGAGGAAAGAAGAACAAAGAGAGGAUGCCGUGAAGAGAGCUUUCCAAUUUCUUCUUGAGCUAUUUGGCUUCACAGCUAUUGAAUGGUGCCCUUCUUAAACUGCAAAUAUUCUGAACUGGGGAUUCCUUCAUCACUAUAUUUUUUUCAUGAGUUUCUUCAAAUCUUCUUGACCUUCUUUUAGAAAAUUUGAAAACAGCAUCCUUUAGUAUGGUUUCUAGACUAACCUUUCCAAAUGAAGGGAGAAAUUUCAGUUUAUUGGAAAUAAAUUCAGGAAGGUAUUUUGCUGAGAUUUCA